UCUUAAGAAACAACCAAAAAAUGUGCAUUAGUUCUGAAUAUGAUUGUGGUUCUGUUUAGAAAAAUAGCUAUGGCUUUAGAACUGUUAAGAGUUUCUUGGGUAUGUUGCCUGCUAAUUGGAGAGAACCAGUUCUCAUAACCCAAAAGGUGAUUAUGGAUAUAUUCCCCUAACUGCACCAAAAGUAACCGGCUCCUAUGCCCCAGCAGAAGCAAUAGCGCCUGUGUCUCGGCAGAAGCAACAAGACCCCGACAGAUGCGGCAAGACACUUGCAGAUGCAGAAGACGCCCUUGCUUUGGCAGAAGCAACAGGACCCCAGCAGAUGUGGCAGGCGCCUUUGCCCCGGCAGA